UAGGGAAUCUUCGGCAAUGGGGGCAACCCUGACCGAGCAACGCCGCGUGAGUGAAGAAGGUUUUCGGAUCGUAAAGCUCUGUUGUAAGAGAAGAACGUGUGGGAGAGUGGAAAGUUCACACAGUGACGGUAACUUACCAGAAAGGGACGGCUAACUACGUGCCAGCAGCCGCGGUAAUACGUAGGUCCCGAGCGUUGUCCGGAUUUAUUGGGCGUAAAGCGAGCGCAGGCGGUUUAAUAAGUCUGAAGUUAAAGGCAGUGGCUUAACCAUUGUUCGCUUUGGAAACUGUUAAACUUGAGUGCAGAAGGGGAGAGUGGAAUUCCAUGUGUAGCGGUGAAAUGCGUAGAUAUAUGGAGGAACACCGGUGGCGAAAGCGGCUCUCUGGUCUGUAACUGACGCUGAGGCUCGAAAGCGUGGGGAGCAAACAGG
rnacentral:rRNA from 1 species